rnacentral:rRNA from 1 species
CCCUUAGAUGUUCUGGGCCGCACGCGCGCUACACCGAUGUAUUCAACGAGUUUCUUCCUGGUCCGAGAGGAAUGGGUAACCUUUUGAAAGUGCAUCGUGAUAGGGAUAGACUAUUGCAAUUAUUGGUCUUCAACGAGGAAUUCCUAGUAGACGUAGUUCAUCAGACUGCAUCGAUUACGUCCCUGCCCUUUGUACACACCGCCCGUCGCUCCUACCGAUUGAAUGCUCAGGUGAGCCAUUCGGACUUUCAUCAUGCUGGUUUCCAGUUUUGAUGAAGGAAAGUCUUGCGAACCUUAUCAUUUAGAGGAAGGAGAAGUCGUAACA